CCCUGUUAAACACAGUGACCUGACAAUGUGAUCCUGAAUGUUGGGUUACUUCUCUACAUUACUGCAUUGAUAUUGGGAAACACACAGCUUUUUCAUUUGAAAAAGUAUCCUUUCUUAAAGUGAAGAUGUCUUAUUUUAUAACGCAACUUCUUAUGAUUAAUCAAAGCUAAGAUGGUUU